rnacentral:tRNA from 1 species
GAGGGUACAGCUCAGUGGUAGAGCACAUGCUUAGCGUGCACGAGGUCCUGGGUUCAAUCCCCGGUACCUCCA